UACGUAGGGGGCUAGCGUUGUCCGGAAUCAUUGGGCGUAAAGAGCGUGUAGGCGGUCCGGUAAGUCAGCUGUGAAAGUCAAGGGCUCAACCCUUGAAUGCCGGUUGAUACUGUCGGGCUAGAGUCCGGAAGAGGCGAGUGGAAUUCCCGGUGUAGCGGUGAAAUGCGCAGAUAUCGGGAGGAACACCAAUGGCGAAGGCAGCUCGCUGGGACGGUACUGACGCUGAGACGCGAAAGCG
rnacentral:rRNA from 1 species